rnacentral:misc_RNA from 1 species
GAAAAAAAAAAAAAGAAUACUGAAAAAAAUUUAAAAAAAAAAAUGUAACGAAGUACAGAUAUCUAAGUGCAUCAAUACUUCAAAAUUCAACAUGACAGGCAGUUGAAAUAUUGAAUGAAAUAUGUAAUUCAGAUCAUCUUGAGAUAGUUAAAAAUACAUAAUGGUUAGCGUAUACAACUUCAGCCACAGUCAUUGCACUACCUUCUACAGUAACAAGGAAUUCUUAAAUGUAUAAUUGAUAAAUAGUUAAGACAUCAGAAUCAAAAAAUUUUACGUUGCUUUCAAAAGGUGAUCUGAAAAUCAUUGUGGGCAUGACAUAAAUAGCAAAAGACCACACAACAUUAUAACUUUGGUCAACCUGCAAAUCUUUGGCCAUGCUUCCUUUC